GUGAGGAAUAUUGCGCAAUGGAGGCAACUCUGACGCAGCCAUGCCGCGUGCAGGAAGAAGGCGCUACGCGUUGUAAACUGCUUUUAACCGGGAAGAAACCCCAGGACGUGUCCUGGGUUGACGGUACCGGAGGAAUAAGCACCGGCUAACUUCGUGCCAGCAGCCGCGGUAAUACGAAGGGUGCAAGCGUUAUCCGGAUUCAUUGGGUUUAAAGGGUGCGUAGGCGGAGCGUUAAGUCAGUGGUGAAAUCCUGCAGCUUAACUGUAGACUUGCCAUUGAUACUGGCGCUCUUGAGUGCGCUUGAAGUGGGCGGAAUGUGCCGUGUAGCGGUGAAAUGCUUAGAUAUGGCACAGAACACCAAUUGCGAAGGCAGCUCACUAAGGCGAUACUGACGCUGAGGCACGAAAGCGUGGGGAUCGAACAGGAUUAGAUACUCCUGUAGUCC
rnacentral:rRNA from 1 species